rnacentral:rRNA from 1 species
AUGCAAAGGAUGAGUGAGUGCUUCUGGUUGCAUGGUCUUGCUAAUGCAGAUAAUGCUAAGCCCUGUAUGUUUGAAUCUGCAGAUUCUAGCGAAGUGAAGGAUGUUGUACACAGUCAUAUGCAGACUCAGAAGAAUGAUGUCCCAAUAGAAAUUUUGGAUUUCAUUCCUGACUUAUUUGAUGACACUGAAAGAAUGGAGGAAGCAACAACAGAUUCUCGGAAUCCAGAAGAUAAGGAGACGACUUACUCAGUAAAAGUUACUGCCAAAGAUAAGGGGGAAGCUCAGAGCAGUGAUAUUGUUAAUGAUGAGGCCAAACAUAUGAACUCUCUUGGGUCGAUUGAGGACUGCCUGGAACUGUUUGCCCAUCGAGUGAAGGAACGUUGUGAGAACUGUUCCAAGGUUGCUGAACAGAUCAUGGCAAGCACCAAUAUAAAUACGACUGUUGAUGGAGAUCAGACUGAGCUGUCAGGUAGGAAAACAUGCCCAAGUGAGUGA